rnacentral:rRNA from 1 species
GGGGGGGGGUGGGGGGGGGGGGGGGGCGGGCGGGUCGGGCGGAGGGGCGGGGGGCUUGCUGUGCUGAGGUUAGCGGCGGGCGGGUGAGUAACGCGUGGAUAACCUACCUAUAUGACUGGGAUCACUUCGGGCAACCGGAGCUAAUACCGGCUAAUAUUUUGACCCGCAUGGUUCAAACGUGAAAGACGGUCUUGCUGUCACUUAUAGAUGGAUCCGCGCUGCAUUAGCUAGUUGGUAAGGUCACGGCUUACCAAGGCAACGAUGCAUAGCCGACCGGAGAGGGGGGUCGGCCACACUGGAACUGAGACGCGGUCCAGACUCCUACGGGAGGCAGCAGUAGGGAAUCUUCCGCAAUGGGCGAAAGCCUGACGGAGCAACGCCGCGUGAGUGAUGAAGGUCUUCGGAUCGUAAAACUCUGUUAUUAGGGAAGAACAUAUGUGUAAGUAACUGUGCACAUCUUGACGGUACCUAAUCAGAAAGCCACGGCUAACUACGUG